rnacentral:rRNA from 1 species
UACGUAGGUGGCGAGCGUUGUCCGGAAUUACUGGGCGUAAAGCGUGCGCAGGCGGUUUUGUAAGCCGGAUGUGAAAUCCCCGGGCUUAACCUGGGAAUGGCAUUCGGGACUGCAAGGCUGGAGUGCGGCAGAGGAGACUGGAAUUCCUGGUGUAGCAGUGAAAUGCGUAGAUAUCAGGAGGAACACCGAUGGCGAAGGCAGGUCUCUGGGCUGACACUGACGCUCAUGCACGAAAGCGUGGGGAGCAAACAGG